rnacentral:rRNA from 1 species
GAUGAACGCUGGCGGCGUGCCUAAUACAUGCAAGUCGAGCGAACAGACGAGGAGCUUGCUCCUCUGACGUUAGCGGCGGACGGGUGAGUAACACGUGGAUAACCUACCUAUAAGACUGGGAUAACUUCGGGAAACCGGAGCUAAUACCGGAUAAUAUAUUGAACCGCAUGGUUCAAUAGUGAAAGACGGUUUUGCUGUCACUUAUAGAUGGAUCCGCGCCGCAUUAGCUAGUUGGUAAGGUAACGGCUUACCAAGGCAACGAUGCGUAGCCGACCUGAGAGGGGGUUCGGCCACACUGGAACUGAGACACGGUCCAGACUCCUACGGGAGGCAGCAGUAGGGAAUCUUCCGCAAUGGGCGAAAGCCUGACGGAGCAACGCCGCGUGAGUGAUGAAGGUCUUCGGAUCGUAAAACUCUGUUAUUAGGGAAGAACAAAUGUGUAAGUAACUAUGCACGUCUUGACGGUACCUAAUCAGAAAGCCACGGCUAACUACGUG